AUUGAACGCUGGCGGCAGGCCUAACACAUGCAAGUCGAGCGGAUGAAGGGAGCUUGCUCCUGGAUUCAGCGGCGGACGGGUGAGUAAUGCCUAGGAAUCUGCCGGGUAGUGGGGGAUAACGUCCGGAAACGGGCGCUAAUACCGCAUACGUCCUGAGGGAGAAAGUGGGGGAUCUUCGGACCUCACGCUAUCAGAUGAGCCUAGGUCGGAUUAGCUAGUUGGUGGGGUAAAGGCCUACCAAGGCGACGAUCCGUAACUGGUCUGAGAGGAUGAUCAGUCACCCUGGAACUGAGACACGGUCCAGACGACUAAGGGAGGCAGCAGUGGGGAAUAUUGGACAAUGGGCGAAAGUCUGACCCAGCCAUGCCGCGUGUGUGAAGAAGGUCUUCGGAUUGUAAAGCACGUUUAGUUGGGAGGAAGGGCAGUAAGUUAAUACCUUGCUGUUUUGACGUUACCAACAGAAUAAGCACCGGCUAACUUCGUG
rnacentral:rRNA from 1 species